rnacentral:rRNA from 1 species
GACGAACCGUGCGAACGUUAUUCGGAAUCACUGGGCUUAAAGGGCGCGUAGACGGGUCGACGCAUCGGUCGCUGAAAGCCCCCGGCUCAACCGGGGAACGGGCGCCGAGAUGGUCGACCUCGAGUAGAGGAGGGGGACCUGGAACGGCCGGUGGAGCGGUGAAAUGCGUUGAGAUCGGCCGGAACGCCGACGGCGAAAGCAGGGUCCUGGACUCUCACUGACGUUGAGGCGCGAAAGCCAGGGGAGCGAACGGG